GGAGGUAGUGACAAUAAAUCACAAUGCGGGACUUUUAGUUUUGCAAUUGGAUUGAGAACAAUGUAAAAGAGUUAUCGAUAAACAAUUGGAGGGCAAGUCUGGUGCCAGCAGCCGCGGUAAUUCCAGCUCCAAUAGCGUAUAUUAACGUUGUUGCAGUUAAAAAGCUCGUAGUUGAAGUGUGGGGUGAAAAGUUGGUUGUUUCUUUGAAAUGGCUGUCUGCUCACCCCCUCUCCAAUGUGUUAUUAUGGGUAUUAAUUUACUUGUAGUAGCUAUUGGUCAUUUACUGUGAGAAAAUUAGAGUGUUCAAAGCAGGCAUUUGCUUGAAUAUAUUAGCAUGGAAUAAUAGUAAAAGGCUUUUGUGGUCGAUUUAAUUGGUUUGUUCAUAAAAGCAAGAUUAAUAGGGACAGUUGGGGGUAUUCAUAUCCAAUAGUUAGAGGUGAAAUUCUCGGAUUUAUGGAAGAUGAACAAGUGCGAAAGCA
rnacentral:rRNA from 1 species